rnacentral:rRNA from 1 species
UACGUAGGGUGCGAGCGUUGUCCGGAAUUACUGGGCGUAAAGAGCUCGUAGGUGGUUUGUCGCGUUGUUCGUGAAAUCUCACGGCUUAACUGUGAGCGUGCGGGCGAUACGGGCAGACUAGAGUACUACAGGGGAGACUGGAAUUCCUGGUGUAGCGGUGGAAUGCGCAGAUAUCAGGAGGAACACCGGUGGCGAAGGCGGUUCGCUGGGCCGUAGCUGACGCUGAGGCGCGACAGCGUGGGGAGCAAACAGG